CCUUACUAAUAGUCCAAUCUAAGUCUCGUGCCAGCAGACGCGGUUAUACGAACUGGGCAAACGUUUAAUAAAUUAAUAGGUAUUAAGGAUCCGUAGGCGGUUUCUAAUAAAGAAACUAGAAUCUAAUAGAGGAUAGUGGAAUGCUAGGAGGAGGGAUGAUAUCCAUUGAUAUCUAGCGGAACACUAAAGGCGAAAGCAGCUAUCCAGCUAAAGAUUGACGCUCAGGGAUGAAAGUCUGGGGAGCAAAACAGAUUAGAUACCUGUGUAGUCCAGACCGUAAACUAUUUACAUUUCUUAUUUGGCUAAAUAUAAAUAUUUAAUUAUGUCAGAUAAGCAGCAAACCGCUGUAUGUGUAACACCUUGUAAGUACAGUCCCACGACCGAAAGCAAAAAGAUUAGACCAUCCUAAAGACCCGGAGUGGAGCAUGUUGUUUAAUACGAUAAUCCGCGUAGAACCUUACCUCUCCUUGAAUGGCUUACAUUAUUUAUUGUAAGAUCACAGGCGUUGCAUGGCUGUCGGCAGUUCGUGUCGUAAGAUGUUAGGUUGAGUCCGCCAACGAACGCAAUCCCUAUAAAAAGUUGUUAUUUAUUAUAUAAUUCUUUUUAUUUGCAUUCAAUAAGAAGCAUUUUGGGAAUACGAUAAGCCUUCAUGACCCUUAUGGAGUAUGGGCUACAGACGUGCUACUUGAACCUAACAAACUGAUGCAAUAUCGUAAGAUGGAGCUAAUCAGUAAAAUAUGGUGAUACUAGGAUCGUGGUCUGAAAUUCGACCACGUGAAUCAGGAAUUCCGAGUAAUCGUUGAUAAGUACGCAACGGUGAACUUUUACAUUUGGGAGAUACUAACCGUCUAUCAAGUGUUGGUCGUUUAUCAAGCUAUGAACUAGUAUUUGAUUUGAUUCUUUGUUUAUUUUUGUAUUUAUUAUUUAUCAUUACUACUUUGUGGUUGUAUAUAUAUAAAUAAUUAUAGUAAAAUAUUGUUAUUUAUUUAUCUAUAUAUAUUAUUCUUAUUUAGUUUAAUAUUGAUUGUAAAUUCUAUAUACUUUUAAUUAUAAGUCUCUAUAUCAAAUACAUGGAAUAGCUUACAACUCCUAACGCUAAGUUAUAGCAAGGUAGCCGUAAGGGAACUUGUGGCUGAUGGAUACU
rnacentral:rRNA from 1 species